UGGAGGCUGGUUCUGGGCCAUUGUAAGGGCUCUGGUUCUUUUGGUUUUAGGUCUUUGGCGAGCUCUUCACGGAGGAGCAGAAAAGAUCUUUCCUCCAGGCGGGGCUGCUGGCCAUCCACGACCCCCUACUCCGCAUCAGCCAGGCUGGCCUAGUGCUGACCUAUUCCAUCCUGGGGGAAGCCGGCCAGCUGCUAGAGGACGAGGGGGACAUUACAGCCAACAUCAUGGUACAACUAUUUAACAUCAGAGUCUUGGGCCAGGUGCCCAACGCACUGCAGGGGCUGUGCUCCGUGGGGCAGCCUUGAGGACCCCCCCUCUUCGCAUGACCAGCUCCCACCCCCUGCCGCAGCCUCGCUCCAGGCCCUCCACCCACCCGCUGCACAGCAUUGCCUCCUCCUCCUCCUGAUCUUCCCCAGCCCCUCCGAUUUCAACUACAUGGCUUCGACCUUUGGCCUGGACAUGGACACUGGCUCUGGUUCUGCAUGGACAUACUCAACACCCAGCAGCAGUAGAAAGGCCCCACCAUUAAUCAAACCCUAACCCCGCCCCAUGACCCCUUAGUCCCUCCCACCUGUCACCGGAAGUCCCGCCCCAUGGGGAUAUUACUUCG